CCAGACUCCUACGGGAGGCAGCAGUGGGGAAUAUUGCACAAUGGGGGGAACCCUGAUGCAGCGACGCCGCGUGAGUGAAGAAGUAUUUCGGUAUGUAAAGCUCUAUCUGCAGGGAAGAUAAUGACGGUACCUUACUAAGAAGCCCCGGCUAACUACGUGCCAGCAGCCGCGGGAAUACGUAGGGGGCAAGCGUUAUCCGGAUUUACUGGGUGUAAAGGGUGCGUAGGUGGCAGGGCAUGUCAGAUGUGAAAGCCCGGGGCCCAACCCCGGUACUGCAUUUGAAACUGUCCGGCUGGAGUGCAGGAGAGGUAAGCGGAAUUCCUAGUGUAGCGGUGAAAUGCGUAGAUAUUAGGAGGAACACCGGUGGCGAAGGCGGCUUACUGGACUGUAACUGACACUGAGGCACGAAAGCGUGGGGAGCAAACAGGAUUAGAUACCCCGGUAA
rnacentral:rRNA from 1 species